CGCGUAGGCGGCCCGCUAAGUCGAACGUGAAAUCCCCGGGCUCAACCCGGGAACUGCGUCCGAUACUGGCAGGCUUGAAUCCGGGAGAGGGAUGUGGAAUUCCAGGUGUAGCGGUGAAAUGCGUAGAUAUCUGGGGGAACACCGGUGGCGAAGGCGGCAUCCUGGGCCGGUAUUGACGCUGAGGCGCGAAAGCCAGGGGAGCAAACG
rnacentral:rRNA from 1 species